AGCAGAGUACAAAGAACGUUUCAUAGACUGCCAAAGAAGCAGGGUUCCAAAGUCCAACUUGAGCUAUACCAAAAGAGAGAAGUAAACAUCCCCAUGUCUUCAUUGCAUUUAAUGGACUUUCUAGGCUCACCAGGAAGAAGAAGAAUAAAAAAAAGUAAUGGGGGACCACAGAUGCCAUGGGAAGACACCACCUCCACCUACAGCAUGAAAAUAAUUUGUAAGAGCCCUAGCUAAUAUGCUUCAAUACACACAUUUUAAAUUCAUCAUGCAGAUGGGGCCACCUGCACCACCCAGCAGCUGCACACUAAACCUAACAACGAAACUCAGACCGAAGUAUUACAGCCCACAGACUGUUGUGCAUCACAGGCAGAGAAUAGGACGGGCUGAGGUCCACCAGUGCUUGAGGACCCCACAAUGGCAGGGAAAUAAUUAAGUGAGACAUACUCAGAAAGGCUCCAGGGGAUCCCAGUACAGGAAGACGACAGGACCUGGUUGCCAUCAGCUCUCUUCCCUUCCACCACUCCACCUCUGGCUACGAAGCAGAUGUACAGCUCUCACGCGUGAAGGAGGCCUGUGGGCCAGUUCAGUAACAGAACAGGAAGCUCCUGAGAGAAAUCCAACUGCUGGCUGUUGUGCAUUCAUUUUUAUUCAGUUCUCACUUCUUCCAUAAAGGAGUGUUAAGGUUUUGAGGGGUCCUGUAUACAGUUCUAGGCAUUGCAUUCCAGGGUUAGAUGCAAUGAACAAAGUCCCAUAUGAAUGAGAGUAUUGAGUAGGAAUAGGGCUCAGAACCCCACUCAUGGACUGUGUGCUCAAUUCAGUGCCAGGAAAUAGGCCCAGCUAACAGCCCUAUUGACACUCCAUAGUACCACAGAGAGGUGGUCAAUCAGCUUGGAACCUGGCCAUGUCCCAGGCCUCAUCAUGGGUGAAAACUGAGGCUGGUGGCAGGAACUGGGGGUGGAAGCAGAUUCUUUUGUAGUAGCAA